UAGAACAAUGUAGGUUAGGGAAGUUGGCAAAACGGAUCCGUAACUUUGGGAGAAGGAUUGACUCUGAGGGUUGAGCCUAGGGGUUUUCAUCCUCAACAUGUGGGUUGUUGACAGUCUUCCCGAGCUGCUAUCGCUAUGAGGGUGGACAAUUACAUGUUGAUUGGGCUACAAAUGUAGAAUGUCCCCUCACGUGUGCUUUUCCCUAGGUGGCGAACAAUCGACUCAGAACUGGUAUAGACAAGGAUGAAACCCUAUUUUUAUUCUAAUCAACAUAAACCUAAACCAUAACUAAAAAAGAUUCAUUUCCAUAAUCUAGUAAUUAGUUCACUAAACUAAAAUUUA
rnacentral:ncRNA from 1 species